GACGAACGCUGGCGGCGUGCUUAACACAUGCAAGUCAAGCGAGAAACCUUCGGGUUUCUAGCGGCGGACGGGUGAGUAACACGUGGGUAACCUGCCUCAAAGAGGGGAAUAGCCUCCCGAAAGGGAGAUUAAUACCGCAUAAUAUUAAAAUUUCGCAUGAAGUUUUAAUUAAAGGAGUGAUCCGCUUUGAGUUGGACCCGCGGCGCAUUAGCUAGUUGGAGAGGUAACGGCUCACCAAGGCCACGAUGCGUAGCCGACCUGAGAGGGUGAUCGGCCACAUUGGAACUGAGACACGGUCCAGACUCCUACGGGAGGCAGCAGUGGGGAAUAUUGCACAAUGGGCGAAAGCCUGAUGCAGCAACGCCGCGUGAGUGAUGACGGUCUUCGGAUUGUAAAGCUCUGUCUUUUGGGACGAUAAUGACGGUACCAAAGGAGGAAGCCACGGCUAACUACGUGCCAGCAGCCGCCGUAAUAC
rnacentral:rRNA from 1 species